rnacentral:rRNA from 1 species
AUGAUCUAGUAUAAGCAUUAUACCGUGAACUGCGAAUGGCUCAUUAAAUCAGUUAUCGUUUAUUUGAUAGUACCUUACUACUUGGAUAACCGUGGUAAUUCUAGAGCUAAUACAUGCUGAAAACCCCAACUUCGGGAGGGGUGUAUUUAUUAGAUAAAAAACCAACGCCCUUCGGGGCUUCUUGGUGAUUCAUGAUAACUUUACGGAUCGCAUGGCCUUGCGCCGGCGACGGUUCAUUCAAAUUUCUGCCCUAUCAACUUUCGAUGGUAAGGUAUUGGCUUACCAUGGUUUCAACGGGUAACGGGGAAUUAGGGUUCGAUUCCGGAGAGGGAGCCUGAGAAACGGCUACCACAUCCAAGGAAGGCAGCAGGCGCGCAAAUUACCCAAUCCCGACACGGGGAGGUAGUGACAAUAAAUACUGAUACAGGGCUCUUUUGGGUCUUGUAAUUGGAAUGAGUACAAUUUAAACCUCUUAACGAGGAACAAUUGGAGGGCAAGUCUGGUGCCAGCAGCCGCGGUAAUUCCAGCUCCAAUAGCGUAUAUUAAAGUUGUUGCAGUUAAAAAGCUCGUAGUUGAAACUUGGGUCUGGCUGGCAGGUCCGCCUCACCGCGUGUACUUGUCCGGCCGGGCCUUCCUUCUGGAGAACCUCAUGCCCUUCACUGGGCGUGUUGGGGACCAGGACUUUUACUUUGAAAAAAUUAGAGUGUUCAAAGCAGGCCUUUGCUCGAAUACGUUAGCAUGGAAUAAUAGAAUAGGACGUGCGGUCCUAUUUUGUUGGUUUCUAGGACCGCCGUAAUGAUUAAUAGGGACAGUCGGGGGCAUCAGUAUUCAAUUGUCAGAGGUGAAAUUCUUGGAUUUAUUGAAGACUAACUACUGCGAAAGCAUUUGCCAAGGAUGUUUUCAUUAAUCAGUGAACGAAAGUUAGGGGAUCGAAGACGAUCAGAUACCGUCGUAGUCUUAACCGUAAACUAUGCCGACUAGGGAUCGGGCGAUGUUCUUUUUCUGACUCGCUCGGCACCUUACGAGAAAUCAAAGUUUUUGGGUCUGGGGGGA